GAAACUGGGUAUAAUACCCGAUAGGUCUCGAUUGCUGGAUGAGGUGAGGGGCUCUCCGGCGCCUAAGGAUGGGUCUGCGGAUAGGGGUCGGGGUGGGUGUAGCGUACCUACUAGCCUACGACGGGUACGGGUUGUGAGAGCAAGAGCCCGGACAUGGAUUCUGAGACACGAAUCCAGGCCCUACGGGGUGCAGCAGGCGCGAAAACUUUACAAUGCUGGCAACAGCGAUAAGGGAACCUCGAGUGCCAGGUUACAAAUCUGGCUGUCGAGAUGCCUAAAAAGCAUUUCAUAGCAAGGGCCGGGCAAGACCGGUGCCAGCCGCCGCGGUAACACCGGCGGCUCGAGUGGUAACCGUUAUUAUUGGGUCUAAAGGGUCUGUAGCCGGCCGGAUAAGUCUCUUGAGAAAUCUGGCAUCUUAACUGUCAGGCUUUCAGGAGAUACUGUCUGGCUCGAGGCCGGGAGAGGUGAGAGGUACUUCAGGGGUAGGGGUGAAAUCUUGUAAUCCUUGAAGGACCACCAGUGGCGAAGGCGUCUCACCAGAACGGACCUGACGGCAAGGGACGAAAGCUAGGGGCACGAACCGGAUUAGAUACCCGGGUAGUCCUAGCCGUAAACGAUACUCGCUAGGUGUCGGCCACGGUGCGACCGUUGUCGGUGCCGUAGGGAAGCCGUGAAGCGAGCCACCUGGGAAGUACGGCCGCAAGGCUGAAACUUAAAGGAAUUGGCGGGGG
rnacentral:rRNA from 1 species